CAUCUAUCAUCACCCUGCCUUUGGACGUGACCAGUACAUUGUGUGUUUCACAGAAAUUAAUCUGGUGUUUCGGAGGAGAAAGGCAUUUCGGAAUCAGUCUGCGUGCAGAACCCUUCCUGCAGACCCUGCAGACGCAGUUUCAACGCCUUUCGCCCCUGCUCAGCAAGUCUCAAACUUGACCUUCGAGAGGAUUUCAAGGGUAAUGCCUUCCUCCCUUUCCCCGAUUUGCCCAGUUGACCACCUUCAAACGUCUAUUCUCCUUUGAGGCGCCCUACCCACCAGUAUGGCCAGAGAUCACCUUAGACAAACCAGCCUUCACCUCGGACCCAGGCCCUCUGCAGACUCAAGUUGGGGAUAUUCGUCCGAGUGGUCCAAGAAUUCCCCAAGUAUCUCCCAGUCGCUGGCUCUCUCGAUAAGCUGAAACGCGGCCGCCCGCGCGGUAAUGACCUUUGCUCGCUGCUGUCGGGGCUGGCACGAAGCGCCAGGAGCGCUCAGGGACGCCCAAGCUUUGGACAAUGGGAAGGCGGAGCGAGAGAGAAACUCAGGACAGGGAGCAACGCGAAGCUGUCCCAACUUCCAGGAAGUGGAGGGCCAGUCCCCGCGCUUCCUGCGGGCGACGGUCCGGAGUCUUUGAUCCCGUUGGUCACGCGGGCCCGAGUUCUCCGCAGCGAGUUGUACUCAAAGCCUGGAGCCCCAACCCUGAGAUCCCUGGCAAGGGCGUG
rnacentral:lncRNA from 1 species